UACAGAGGUCUCAAGCGUUGUUCGGAUUCAUUGGGCGUAAAGGGUGCGUAGGCGGCGCGGUAAGUCGGGUGUGAAAUCUUGGAGCUUAACUCCGAAACUGCAUUCGAUACUGCCGUGCUUGAGGACUGGAGAGGAGACUGGAAUUUACGGUGUAGCGGUGAAAUGCGCAGAUAUCAGGAGGAACACCGGUGGCGAAGGCGGAUCUCUGGGCCUGUUCUGACGCUGAGGCGCGAAAGCUAGGGGAGCGAACAGG
rnacentral:rRNA from 1 species